AUGAUAAAAAAAAAAAACACGAACAAAAAUAUUGAUAUAUCUAAUGAUAACUGUACUAAUGAUAUUAAGACAUACAAUAAUGAUACCAGUAAUCUAUCAGAAAAUGAGCUCCUACAUGAGUCCUUAAACAAUUCUGAAGAUACAUCUAUUAAUGCAUCUACAAAUGUACCAUUAUCUGACAGACUUGUUGAAUUAUAUUUAAGAAAUAUUCAGAAAGAUAACGAUGGUGAUAACUUACAAAAUAACAAACUUUGUACUUCUUUAAUAAAAAGUGAGAAUAAUUAUAAUAAUAAUGAUAAUAUUAGUGAUAAUAUUAGUGAUAAUAUUAGUGAUAGUAGUGGCAAUAAUACAGAGAGAGAUAUAAACAAUAAUAACACGUUCAACUUCAAUAUCAGUAAGUCAAAAGGAUUAAUGACAGAAAUAAUAGAGGAAGAACAAAAUGACACAACUGUAAUAAAUGAAAAAAAAAAAAUUGAUUUAAUUUUAAAUAAUAAUGAAUUAAAAGAUUGUUUAUUAAAUAUAAAUGAUAAAUUUAAUAAUAUAAAUACUAAUAAAAGUCAAAAAUUAAAUAAUGAGAACAUAAUGGAUAAUAAUAAUAAUAAUGAUAAUACAACAAAUAAUACUUUUAAUAUAUUAAUGGAAGAAAAAAUUACUCAAAAUGAAUUUAUAACAGAUUCAUUUAAUAAAAAUACAGAACAAUUUUGUACUAUAAAUGAUAAAAAUGAAAACGCUUGUAAAGAUAGUUUGUAUAUAUUGUUGAAGGAUGCUCUUGGAUUGAAAGUUGAUAGUGAAAAUGAUCAUCAUGCUAGUCAUCAUGCUAGUCAUCAUGAAAGCUAUGAUGAAAGCUAUGAUAAUAACAAUUUUGACUGUAUUAACUUUGACAAAUGUAAUGAAAACCCAAAAGAUGAGUAUGAUAUUCAACAGUUGAUUAAUCUUAAAUUAAAAAACAAAUCAGAAAAAGAAAUAUUAAAUUGUUUAAAAAUUAUAUCAAAAAUUAAAAAAAUAUUUUUCGAUGAAUGUACAAAAAUGAUUAAUUAUCAAAUUUAUUUGUUAGAGAAAAACUUUAAAAUACCUAAUUGUUCUUUGUCCGUUUUAAAAAAAUCAUAUGGUUAUAAUUGUCCCAAAUAA
rnacentral:lncRNA from 1 species